AUGAUAUUUGAUUCAAUAAUUUUUGAAGUUGAUCUCAAGGUCAAGGUUGUGAAUAGCAGAAAGGUCAAUGACAAGAGAGUUAGCAAAGGCCUAAUGGAGAUUAAUGGCAUCUCCAGACUGUCAUUUCCACCGAAAUACAAGGUUCAAACCGAAACGCUUGUCAGCAUGCACAGCACAUUGGAUUUAAACUACACGUUUGUAAGAAAGGCGGUGGAGGGCACCGUUGAGAUGAGGAUCCUUGAGGCGGGACCUGUUAAUUUCCAUGGGAAAAUCAUCGCUCGCACUAGCAGCUUUCCAUGUGACAUUAUGCUACAUGAUAGCAAACUUGCUGGGAUGCUAAUAGCUGGUGAGGGUGGGAUCCUGCAAACAGCGCGCCGCGUGGUCAGUGUCUCGGUUGAUGAGCCGCUCCUGUUGACUAUUGCCACUGCUACAGGCGGUGUCCGCACUGUCGAGUUUACUCCAAAGCACGGCAGCUAUGAUGAAGAGAGAAUCACUUGCAGCGACUAUAAGAUGCUGGUGAAGGUCACCUGGUCCAUUGUGCAUCGCUGA
rnacentral:rRNA from 1 species